rnacentral:ribozyme from 1 species
AAAAGAGAGGGAAAAAAGAGAGGGAAAAAAAAAGGGAAGGGGGGGGGGGGGCAAGAAAAGAGAGAGGAAUAUUCAACAGUGCUUCAUUCUAUUCUAUUCUGUGUCUUUUCUUCUCGCUUUC